GAAAGUAAGCAAGGGCAGACGGUGGAUGCCUUGGCUCUCGGAGGCGAAGAAGGACGUGAUAAGCUGCGAAAAGCCCGGGGGAGAUGCAAAUAAUCCUUGAUCCCGGGAUAUCCGAAUGGGGCAACCCGGCAGGUUGAAGGCCUGUCACCUUGAAAUAAGGAGCAAACGCGGGGAACUGAAACAUCUAAGUACCCGUAGGAGAAGAAAACAAAAGUGAUUCCGUAAGUAGUGGCGAGCGAACACGGAACAGCCCAAACCGGUGUUGUUUAGGCAAUACCGGGGUAGUAGGACCACGUUGUGGCAAGCAAACAGGGAAGUGGAAUUAACUGGAAAGUUGAGCCAGAGACGGUGAAAGCCCGGUACACGACUCCCUGUCGAAGCCUAGUGGUAUCCUGAGUAACGCGGAGCACGAGGAAUUCUGCGCGAAUCAGCGGGGCCCAUCCCGUAAGGCUAAAUACUCCCGAGAGACCGAUAGCGAACCAGUACUGUGAAGGAAAGGUGAAAAGAACCCCGAACAGGGGAGUGAAAUAGACCCUGAACCCGUCUGCCUACAAGCGGUCGGAGCAGCUUCGAGCUGUGACGGCGUGCCUUUUGCAUAAUGAACCUACGAGUUACUUUCAGUGGCAAGGUUAAGUACUUCAGGUACGUAGCCGAAGCGAAAGCGAGUCUGAAAAGGGCGUCAAGUCACUGUGAGUAGACGCGAAACCAAGUGAUCUACCCUUGUCCAGGAUGAAGGUUGGGUAACACCACCUGGAGGUCCGAAUGGUUAUACGUUGAAAAGUGUUCCAAUGAGAUGAGGGUAGGGGUGAAAGGCUAAUCAAACUUGGAGAUAGCUCGUACUCCCCGAAAUGCAUUUAGGUGCAGCCUGUGAGAAGUAUAAUAUGAGGUAGAGCGACUGAUUGGAUGCGAGGGCUUCACCGCCUAUCAAGUCCAGACAAACUCCGAAUGCGUAUUAUAUGAUUCCACGGAGUGAGGGCAUGGGUGCUAAGGUCCAUGUCCGAGAGGAGAAGAAUCCAGACCACCUGCUAAGGUCCCGAAAUAAUGCUUAAGUUGAGAAAACGAAGUCAGAUUGCAAAGACAGCUAGGAUGUUGGCUUGGAAGCAGCCAUUCAUUUAAAGAGUGCGUAACAGCUCACUAGUCGAGGAAUUUGGCAUGGAUAAUAAUCGGGCAUAAAGCAUUUACCGAAGCAGUGGAAUCAGUAAUGAUUGGUAGGGGAGCAUUCCGGCGGCGUCGAAGAUAGAGGAUGACCUCUGUUGGAGCUUCCGGAAAAGCAAAUGUAGGUAUAAGUAACGAUAAAGGAGGUGAGAAACCUCCUCGCCGAAAGACUAAGGUUUCCUGAUCAACGUUAAUCGGAUCAGGGUAAGUCGGGACCUAAGGAUAAGCCGAACGGCGAAGCCGAUGGAAGAAACGGUUAAUAUUCCGUUACUACUUUAAUGAGUGACGUGGAGACGGAGAAGUGACAGUCCUGCCGGCUGACGGAAUAGCCGGUUGAAGGGUGUAGGAGUAGAUCCUUGCAGGCAAAUCCACAAGGAGAUCCGAACUUGAUAGUAUGGAGCGCACCCCGGUGCAAUCCAAAAUGGACGUAAUCAGGCUCCCGAGAAAAUCCGCUAAACUUAAUCAUUGAAGUACCCGUACCACAAACGGACACACGUAGUUGGGUUGAAAAUACUGAGGCGCUCGAGUGAGUCACGGUUAAGGAACUAGGCAAAAUGGUCCUGUAACUUCGGGAUAAAGGACGCCAAUCGUAAGAUUGGCCGCAGAGAAUAGGCCCAGGCGACUGUUUAACAAAAACACAUGGCUGUGCGAAAUAGUAACAUGAAGUAUACAGCCUGACACCUGCCCGGUGCUGGAAGGUUAAGAGGAGGACUCAGCGCAAGCGAAGGUCUGAAUUGAAGCCCCAGUAAACGGCGGCCGUAACUAUAACGGUCCUAAGGUAGCGAAAUUCCUUGUCGGGUAAGUUCCGACCUGCACGAAUGGUGUAACGAUCUGGGCACUGUCUCAACCGUGAGCUCGGUGAAAUUGUAGUAUCGGUGAAGAUGCCGAUUACCCGCGAUGGGACGAAAAGACCCCGUGAACCUUUACUAUAGCUUUACAUUGAAUUUGGGCAAUUGAUGUGUAGGAUAGGCCGGAGGCAGAGAAGCUGGUACGCCAGUAUUAGUGGAGCCGCCGUUGAAAUACGGCCCUUUGAUUGUUUGAGUUCUAACUUGCGGUUAGCGAGGACACUGUAUGGUGGGUAGUUUGACUGGGG
rnacentral:rRNA from 1 species